rnacentral:tRNA from 1 species
GGGGUUGUGGCUCAGUGGUAGAGCACUCACCUAGCACGAGUGAAUGCUGAGUUCGAUCCUCAGCACCA